GAUGAACGCUGGCGGCGUGCCUAAUACAUGCAAGUCGAGCGAGAACUUAAUGAUUGAAGAUUCGUCUGAUUGAUUUAAGGGAAAGCGGCGGACGGGUGAGUAACGCGUAGGCAACCUGCCCUUAGCAGAGGGAUAGCCAUUGGAAACGAUGAUUAAAACCUCAUAAUGCUGAAGAGUCACAUGUCACUUCAGCCAAAGAUUUAUCGGCUAGGGAUGGGCCUGCGUCUGAUUAACUAGUUGGUGGGGUAACGGCUCACCAAGGUGACGAUCAGUAGCCGACCUGAGAGGGUGAUCGGCCACAUUGGAACUGAGACACGGUCCAAACUUC
rnacentral:rRNA from 1 species